CUGGACUGGACUGGACUGGACUGGACUGGACUGGGGAGGGGAACGGACGCACGAGGUGUCUGAGACCAGUCCAUAAAGCCUGUCCCCUCUCUGCUGACAGAUUUCCAAGCGGCUGAAGUUGGAUGUAUCCCAGCAGCGGACUGAGACCUGCUGUCAGCAGGGCGAGAAAAGUUUGCAGGGAAAAGAAGAUGAAACAUCCAGGAGUUUGCCAACAAACAGGUGGAUGCAAUUAAACGCACUCGCCUUCAGACCGUCUGCAAGGAGUCAAGGUCAAGAUGUGCUGAGAGCCGAUGGGGAYGAAGCAGGCGAGGAAGGCUCUCCUCUUCUCACAGUCAAACAUCUGCCCGUUGUCACAUUCCUGCACAGUCUAAUUCUGCAAAUUAAACCUCCUUCGUUCUCAUUGUUGUCAGAUCAUUACUUCCCUUUCCCUUCACCACAAGUAGUCCUUCUCCUGAGCGCCGAGGUGUCUGCACGGUUUGGUAAAACCUGCCCUGCAGACCGGACCUCUCCAGUCUUCAAAGGAGGCAGAACUCAAUGUGGGGGGAUUUGUUCAGGCUUAUUUGGUAACCUGGGAUUUGAAUUGGAUUCUUGGAGGCAUUCAUAACACAUUUGAAAAUGUUGCAUUGUGUGAUUUUGUGUGUAAUCCCCAUAAUAAAUUUUAGAAGUGGUCACAGCA